rnacentral:lncRNA from 1 species
UGUAUUUUGUGUUCAUUUGUGUAUUUUGUUAUUUGUUGUUUACACCUGUUUAAAGUUGUAAUACAACAAAGUUGUGUAAUUAAUUUGUCAUGCAGAAAAUAUGGAUUAUUACUAAUAUGGGAAUCAUUAUUUGUCAACAAUAGUGUGCAACCUUUUUGGCUCAUCCGGCCAACCAACCAAGAUGGCCGCCAUGGCUAAGAAUAGAACAUAGGGGGAAAAUGUGGAUUUUGACUUUUAACUCUGAAACCAAAGCAUUUAGAGCAAAUCUGUAGAAGAGUAAAAUUGUUUAUCAUGUCAAGAUCUAUCUGCCCUGAAAUUAUCAGACAAAUUGGACAACCCGUUGUUGGGUUGCUGCCCCCGAAUUAGUAUCUUGAAUAUUAUUAUAGAUAGAGAUAAACUGUGAACAGCAAUAAUGUUCAACAAAAUAAUAUCUACAAAUAAGUCAACAUUACCAAAAUUGUCAAAUGACCCCUUAAGGAGUUAUUGGCCUUUACAGUCAAUUUUUAACAAUUUUCAUAACUUGAACAAUUUUCAUAAAUUUUUGUAAAUUUUUAGAAAAUAAUUUUCACUGUAAUUAUUGGGCCAAGUUUAUUAUAGAUAGAGAUAUUUGUAGCAACAAGAAUGUUCAGUAAAGUAAGAUCUACAAACACAUCACCAUCACCAAAACACAAUUUUUUUCAUGGAUUUAUAUGGGUCCAAUGUUUAAUAUGCACACAGACCAAGGUGAGCGACACAGGCUCUUGAGAGCCUCUAGUUUUUUUAAUUACACAAAAUAAACAUAUUUAAUCAUAACAAAUAUUCGCCAAUAAAUUUGCUUUAAAAUUUAUUUUGCAUGAGAGAGCUAAUCUAAUAGUAAACUCAUUUAAAAAAAAAGUAAUUUUUGUUUGCUAUAAAGUUUGUUUGUAACAGGAACUUAUGAUGUUUUAUUUAGUCAUUCAGUGAAAAGUUAUAUGAUAAAAUCAUGAUUAAUCAUUUUAAAAAGCUGCAUUCCUGGAUUCUUGCUCAGAUGUUGAUCUCAGAGGAACUAUUACAUAUUAACCACCAAUACUGUUUUCAUAUAUAAAAUACUUACUUCAUUUAUUAUAAGAGACUUAGGUUUGAGGGGAUAUAUUUCUGUUUGAUUCAUCAGAACUGAUUUCUACAGAAUAAUUUAAGAUUGUUAGUGUUGUGUUAUUUGAAAUUGCCAAAUUUUAAUUUUUUGGGGG